CAGAAACUUGUUUAGGAUCCUCUUUGAAUGGUCUGAAAGAAGAUACAGAAGCCGGUGAAAGCAGCAGACACCUGAGUGACAUCAUCUAUUGCAUGGAGACAACAGGAGACAGAGUUUUUUGAAAACACUUGGUGUGAAAGGAAACACCAUACUGCAGAGUACUGCAGAAGUGGAUGAAACUGUUGAUGUCUCCUACCUGGAAAAGCUCCAAGCAAGAGAGACUUUGAAACUUUCCCAAGGAGUCACAUUCUGGAUUUGUGUUGCUUUAUUUUGAAGUCUAAGACAUACAGGUGGCUGUGCUGUGGCAUGUUGGAGCUCAAUAUGGCUGCUCGUCCCCUGGUUGACAAUGGCCAGUAGCGGUGAUGGUAGAAGUUAAGAAGCCUACAGCAAUACAGCCACUGGUGUCUCUGAAAUUGAAAAAGUCUGAUUGGAAUGCAAGAAAUGACAUUAUUAAAUACGAG
rnacentral:lncRNA from 1 species